rnacentral:misc_RNA from 1 species
GUGCUUUACAAUCUCCUUUGUGCCCCUGGGAUUUCAAACUGUUCUCUAGCUGAUGUAGCACAUCAAACAUUGAAAAGAUGUCAAACGUAGAGUGGCACAAUAUAUUGCUCAUUACCUUCUCAUUAAACACAGAACCAGAGAUCUGACGAACAAAGUGUUCAAUCCGUCGGGGUGAGAAAGAGUUGCCUGUAUCCAAGAAAAUAACUCUACCCUUGUGUUGUAUCGCAACAUUUGCAGCUACUCGUAAGCAAAGUUGGGUUUUACCAGAUGAUGAUGGCCCAACCAAUUCAGUCAACUGUCCCUCCCGCAAUC